rnacentral:rRNA from 1 species
CUUAGGGAUAAGGGGUGCCACCAUCAGGUGGCCGCAGAGAAUAGGCCCAAGCGACUGUUUACCAAAAACAUAGGUUUCUGCUAAGUCGCAAGACGAUGUAUAGGAGCUGACGCCUGCCCGGUGCUGGACGGUUAAGGGGAUCUGUUAGAGCAAUCGAAGCAGUGAACUUAAGCCCCAGUAAACGGCGGCCGUAACUAUAACGGUCCUAAGGUAGCGAAAUUCCUUGUCGGGUAAGUUCCGACCCGCACGAAAGGCGUAACGAUUUGGGCACUGUCUCAACAACAGACUCGGUGAAAUUGUAAUUCCGGUG